rnacentral:lncRNA from 10 species
AUGCUGACAACAGCGAUUGUAAAGAUUGCAGAAUUGGCUGGCAGCUUCAGAAGGCCUGAGAGCAUGUACACAAGAGAAGAGUUAAUGGAAGACCAUGAAUGUCCCAUGCAGACCACACGUGGGCGAGCAGCAGUCUCCAUGGCAUAUUUGAUCUUGCAAAGCAGGCCCACAAAGAGACUGAGAUCUCCACAUAGCCACCCCUCCCCCAGAAACAAAAGGAUUCAUCUGGCAAAAGAACACUGAAGGAGUUGUAGGAUCUCACCAUUUUGUUUUGGCAAGAAUUUGGAAAAAUCCAUCGGAUUUCACUCAGAAAGUGUUAGAGCAACAAGAGUGAACUAUAAGACUUGGAUUAGGACAUGUUUCCUAAUGUAUUUGAGCUACCUUAAAAAUGGAAAUUUAUUG